CAAUAGCGUAUAUUAAAGUUGUUGCGGUUAAAAAGCUCGUAGUUGGAUUUCUGCUGAGGACGACCGGUCCGCCCUCUGGGUGAGUAUCUGGCUUGGCCUUGGCAUCUUCUUGGAGAACGUAGCUGCACUUGACUGUGUGGUGCGGUAUCCAGGACUUUACUUGAGGAAAUUAGAGUGUUUCAAGCAGGCACACGCCUUGAAUACAUUAGCAUGGAAUAAUAAGAUAGGACCUUGGUUCUAUUUUGUUGGUUUUUGGAGCCGAAGUAAUGAUUAAUAGGGAUAGUUGGGGGCACUCGUACUCCGUUGUCAGAGGUGAAAUUCUUGGAUUGACGGAAGACGAACAACUGCGAAAGCAUCUGCCAAGGAUGUUUUCAUUGAUCAAGAACGAAAGUUAGGGGAUCGAAGACGAUCAGAU
rnacentral:rRNA from 1 species